AUUGAACGCUGGCGGCAGGCCUAACACAUGCAAGUCGAACGGUAACAGGAAGCAGCUUGCUGCUUUGCUGACGAGUGGCGGACGGGUGAGUAAUGUCUGGGAAACUGCCUGAUGGAGGGGGAUAACUACUGGAAACGGUAGCUAAUACCGCAUAACGUCGCAAGACCAAAGAGGGGGACCUUCGGGCCUCUUGCCAUCGGAUAUGCCCAGAUGGGAUUAGCUAGUAGGUGGGGUAACGGCUCACCUAGGCGACGAUCCCUAGCUGGUCUGAGAGGAUGACCAGCCACACUGGAACUGAGACACGGUCCAGACUCCUACGGGAGGCAGCAGUGGGGAAUAUUGCACAGUGGGCGCAAGCCUGAUGCAGCCAUGCCGCGUGUAUGAAGAAGGCCUUCGGGUUGUAAAGUACUUUCAGCGGGGAGGAAGGGAGUAAAGUUAAUACCUUGGCUCAUUGACGUUACCCGCAGAAGAAGCACCGGCUAACUCCGUG
rnacentral:rRNA from 1 species